UACAGAGGGUGCAAGCGUUGUUCGGAAUUACUGGGCGUAAAGCGCACGUAGGCGGAUCGAUCAGUCAGGGGUGAAAUCCCAGGGCUCAACCCUGGAACUGCCUUUGAUACUGUCGAUCUGGAGUAUGGAAGAGGUGAGUGGAAUUCCGAGUGUAGAGGUGAAAUUCGUAGAUAUUCGGAGGAACACCAGUGGCGAAGGCGGCUCACUGGUCCAUUACUGACGCUGAGGUGCGAAAGCGUGGGGAGCAAACAGG
rnacentral:rRNA from 1 species